UGGCACUCCGUGCUUGCCUAGCGACAUACUCACAACCACAUAGAUAAGGGGGAGUUGUGCAGACAGCUUUUCAGGGUUAAGCAAUUGACUAUCAAUCAAUAAUCUUUUAUGAAAGAAGAGAUGGUGCAGCACACGCAUGCCCAAUAUUAAGAGAGAGAAGACAUUUAUUGAGGCAAGCAGCUGGAGUGGACCUGCCCCCAUCACCAGGCCAGCUUCCCACCUGCACGUGCAGCUCUUUCUUCUUUUGCAGGAGGCUGGCUCUGCUCAUUAGACAUGCAACAAAGAGCUGGCCUGUGGAGCACACAUCCAUAUUCAUAACUCAAGUCAGCUGGAAAGUUGUACAUUUUUCUUUCUGGGAAGUCAUGGCGACAAAGACUGAAGACCCAGGCAGCACAAAUGUGAAUGAUGGAUCUCUUGGAAGAACAACAAAGACUGAAGUGAGUAUAUUUUAUGCUUGGAAAUGAGCAAAUCAUUCCUUUUGACAAGCCAUUGAUGUUGGGGUUCCAUGGAAAAGAGAAGGAGGUGAACAAAAGGAAGAAAUGCAGAGAAAAAUAUGGAAUAGAAAUAUGAGGGAAGAUAUUAGCAAACUGGCUACAUCUUUUAUGACAAACUCAACUGAUUACAUCUUUUCCAAGAACAUCUUCAGAGGUUUGCUGGAGUUUGGAUUUACUACUGAGUCAUAUUUGGAGCAUGCUGGAAUCUUACAACUGAGAUUACCGAGUCAGAAACUUGCAAACAUGAGUAACAUGGCCCUGCUCUGGAGACUACUGGGAACACAAACACAGCCAUUUAAGACAUCUACCUGCUUCUCCUUUGCCUUCCAUCAUGACUGAAAGUUGUCUGAGGUCUCCCAGCCACGUGUCCUGUACAGCCUGUGGAACUACUUUAAAGAAGAAUCAGAAAAUGGAGACUGGGAUUGGAAGCAGAGAUCCGAUGGCCAAAUUACAGUCUGCCACUGAAGCUAACACACCUAUGGAUAACCCAACCUGUAAACUCAAUGUGGAACACAGUUUGAGAAAAGAAGUGAGAAGAUUCAAUUUUGAAGUUGGAUCACUCUCCUACAGGCAAUGAAGACCACAUCACUGAUGAAUUUUGGAUAUUUGACAAAUCUGAGGAAUUGAAGAGACGGGCACCUCACCUUUUCUGAGCAGAAGAGUUCAUUUGAUGAAACCUGAAGUAGAGAGCAGGCUCUCCUGCAAUUCUAUUACCUGUUUGAAUGUGAAGAUGGGAUGAAGUAGCAAGAAGGACCUCACAAAAUACCUCCCCCACCACCCCAUCAUCUUGCACUUUCCAGUCUGCAGAACUGUGAGAA
rnacentral:lncRNA from 1 species